GCCUCGGUAGUCUAAAGGCUUAGGACGCUCGCAUAGAAUGCCAGAGAUCCGAGUUCGAUUUACGGCCAAGGUA
rnacentral:tRNA from 1 species